rnacentral:lncRNA from 1 species
AGCUGGCCUGCAAGCGCCGCCCGCAGCCGCGGUUCCCGCCGGCGCCUCUCCCUCCACACCUCCCUGCAAGCUGAGGGAGUGGGCUCCGGCCUUGGCCAGCCCAGAAAGGGGCCCCCACAGUGCAGCGGUGGGCUGAAGGGCUCCCCAGGUGCAUCCAAAGUGGGAGCCCAGGCAGAGGAGGCGCCGAGAGCGAGAGAGGGCUGUGAGGACUGCCAGCACGCUGUCACCUCUCAGAACCAGGGGAGAAACCUGAGAAGUGUCUUUCAGCACACUACCUGGAUCCUAAUGGUACAGUUGAAUGUAAUCCUACCUGACAUAAAACUGACGAAUGAAAGAAAUCAUAAAGAUACAUCAUGCAACCAAAAAUGUAACCUUCUCUUAUAUUAAAAGUUCUCUGUCAUUCUCACUUUCUUUGUCAUUUGCAUUGCUUCUUUUUGCUAUUUUUCCUCUUAUCAAUAUUCUAGCUGUCCCCUUUCCAUCUUCUUUACUAGUUUGUCUUCUACUUGACCAUUGAAGUUUCUUGUAGAUUGUUACAGAAGUAGCCCCCACUGUGUCCUGUGUCCUUGUAGUCACACCCAUGUGUUCUUUCUUCUCAAGUUGACUAAGGUGGGGUUUCUUGCUCUCCUCGGUGAUUGAGAUAUUGGCAGAUAUGAUGUCAGCAAAAGCUUGAAAGGUGUGGCCAUAGAGGAUUACUCUGCUUUUUGCUGUUUUUGGAAUGAAGACUCCAUGUGAAGAAUCCCAAACCAGCCUGAUGGAAGUGUGUGGACUGGAAAACAGCUAGCACCAAGGGCCAAUCAUGUGAGAAAGGCUAUUUUAUAGCCCUUAGCCCAAGACGAUGAGUUGAGUGCCCUAAGUUGAAAGCAACCAAAGAAGCACCCCAUAAACCC